rnacentral:rRNA from 1 species
GGAAACGACUGCUAAUACCCAAUAGACUCCGGUUUCGCAUGAAACCGACAGGAAAGGUGGCCUCUCGAAGAAGCUACCGCCGCAGGAGGGGUUUGCGUUUGAUUAGUUAGUUGGUGGGGUAACGGCCUACCAAGACGAUGAUCAAUAGCCGGUCUGAGAGGAUGAACGGCCACACUGGAACUGAGACACGGUCCAG